GAUGAACGCUGGCGGCGUGCCUAAUACAUGCAAGUCGAGCGAACAGACGAGGAGCUUGCUCCUCUGACGUUAGCGGCGGACGGGUGAGUAACACGUGGAUAACCUACCUAUAAGACUGGGAUAACUUCGGGAAACCGGAGCUAAUACCGGACAACAUGUUGAACCGCAUGGUUCAACAGUGAAAGACGGUUUUGCUGUCACUUAUAGAUGGAUCCGCGUCGCAUUAGCUAGUUGGUAAGGUAACGGCUUACCAAGGCAACGAUGCGUAGCCGACCUGAGAGGGUGAUCGGCCACACUGGAACUGAGACACGGUCCAGACUCCUACGGGAGGCAGCAGUAGGGAAUCUUCCGCAAUGGGCGAAAGCCUGACGGAGCAACGCCGCGUGAGUGAAGAAGGUCUUCGGAUCGUAAAACUCUGUUAUUAGGGAAGAACAAAUGUGUAAGUAACUAUGCACGUCUUGACGGUACCUAAUCAGAAAGCCACGGCUAACUACGUG
rnacentral:rRNA from 1 species